rnacentral:rRNA from 1 species
AGUGAACGCUGGCGGUAGGCCUAACACAUGCAAGUCGAACGGCAGCACAGUAAGAGCUUGCUCUUACGGGUGGCGAGUGGCGGACGGGUGAGGAAUACAUCGGAAUCUACUUUUUCGUGGGGGAUCACGUAGGGAAACUUACGCUAAUACCGCAUACGACCUACGGGUGAAAGCAGGGGAUCUUCGGACCUUGCGCGAUUGAAUGAGCCGAUGUCGGAUUAGCUAGUUGGCGGGGUAAAGGCCCACCAAGGCGACGAUCCGUAGCUGGUCUGAGAGGAUGAUCAGCCACACUGGAACUGAGACACGGUCCAGACUCCUACGGGAGGCAGCAGUGGGGAAUAUUGGACAAUGGGCGCAAGCCUGAUCCAGCCAUACCGCGUGGGUGAAGAAGGCCUUCGGGUUGUAAAGCCCUUUUGUUGGGAAAGAAAAGCAGCAGGUUAAGACCCCGCUGUUCUGACGGUACCCAAAGAAUAAGCACCGGCUAACUUCGUG